rnacentral:rRNA from 1 species
GACGAACGCUGGCGGCGUGCUUAACACAUGCAAGUCGAACGGAAAGGCCCCUUUGGGGGUACUCGAGUGGCGCACGGGUGAGUAACACGUGAGUAACCUGCCCUUGACUUCGGGAUAACUUCAGGAAACUGGGGCUAAUACCGGAUAGGAAUCCUUGCUGCAUGGUGGGGGUUGGAAAGCUUCGGCGGUUUUGGAUGGACUCGCGGCUUAUCAGCUUGUUGGUGGGGUAGUGGCUUACCAAGGCUUUGACGGGUAGCCGGCCUGAGAGGGCGACCGGCCACAUUGGGACUGAGAUACGGCCCAGACUCCUACGGGAGGCAGCGGUGGGGAAUAUUGCACAAUGGGCGGAAGCCUGAUGCAGCAACGCCGCGGGCGGGAUGACGGCCUUCGGGUUGUAAACCGCUUUCAGCAGGGGCGAAGCUUGUGGUGACGGUACCUGCAGAAGAAGCACCGGCUAACUACGUG